AGUAUAUGUAUUGGAUAUGCAGUUCCAGCCACAAUUGGUCGUAGUUUUAGAUCCAUAGGUUCACUAGUGGUAAUGUAUGUUUGAUUUUGUUCUUCAAUAGCGGUCUUGAUGUGGUUCCUUUCGUGUGUUUUCGGAAGUCCAUAGAAAUCACUAAUUUUCUUUUCAAACUUUGUUAAAUAGUCAUUUUUUUUAACAAGUGUCCGUGUUUUCGGCACAUCUGUUUUAAAUUCCUCAAAAUAUUUUUAUCGGGAUUUUGUGGUUGUUUUACAUAAAAGUUCUUAUCCUCUAUAUGUUGAAGCACGAGGGAUUUGUAAAAUGCUUUAAAUGCUUUAUCCAUACAGACUAUUGCUCCUCCUUUGUCCGCCUCUUUGAGGAUAAUCUCAGAGUCAAUCUGUAAUUUUUUAAGGGCUUUUUUCUGUAUUAAAUUCAAAUUGAUGGAAUACAGUUGAUACUUCGAUUCCCUUUUUGGACAUCAAAAUGAUAAAACAUGAAACCAACAUCCUAACUGACAUAUUUUACAAUACAACGGAUACACACCAAUAUUUGAAUUUCAAAUCAUGUAAUCCUACACACACUAAAAGGAAUAUCCCAUACAAUUUGGCCAGAAGGAUUUGCACCAUUGUUAAAGAUGAAAAUACUAAAGACCAAAGACUGACGGAAUUGCGAAUAUUUCUUACUGCACAGAAUUAUCCGGAAACACUCAUUCUUUCAGCCAUAAAUGAAGCAAAGAAAAUUCCACGGGAUAUACUUAGAACAACAAGAAAAAACAAGACCAUGAUCCUUUCUAAUACCAUUUAAGACAACUUACAACCCAAAACAUAUAAAUAUCUUUCAGGAAACUAAGAAGAAUUGUACAAUAAUUGAGCAUAAUUUAGAACUUCAGAACAUUAUUCCCAAAUCUGACCUACUCCACAGCCAAAUACAACCAUCUAACAUGAAGAAAUUGAUUUUUUUAAAAAGAGCCAAAUUCAAUUCAAAGCCUGAAAAAUACGCAGUUUCUACAUGUGGUGACUCGAGGUGUGGUACAUGCCCCUUCCUAAAAACAGGACCUUCUAUUACUUUUAAAUGCGGAAAAUAUUUUAAUGUAAAUUAUAACAUGUCAUGCAAGUCGAAAAACUUACUAUACUGCAUUAUUUGCAACGAUAUGUGGCGAGUAUAUUGGAUAAACUGGAACACAAUUAACAGCCAGGAUGCGUGUCCAUCGCCAACAAAUUAGUGAUCCCAGUACAAGAAAUACCCCAUGCAGCGAACAUUUUGACACCUGUGCUAGAGGCAACUACAACGUAUUUCCAUUUUAUAAACUUGAAACAGAAUCAACGUCCAUGGGACUUGCUAAAGAAAAUUAUUCCAUUAAACUGUUUUCUCCUAGACUAAACAAACUUUAUUGAACACAUAUGAAAAAAUUCUUAUUGUUAAACCUUUUAAUUCAUCAACUUUUAUUAUGUAAAAUGUCAUGCUUAUUUUGUCCAAGUCACCUUUCCCGAACUUUUGUAUUAUGACGUUAUGUACAUGAAACGUACAUCUAUUCCCUCCUCGCAAAGACUAUUAUGACAAAUUGAGAUCGGGUUUCGGAUGUAUCAUAACCUGAUAGAGGCUAAAUAUAAAGCUUAAGUCAACCGGACCAUAGGGGCUUCUUAUCCAUUAUGUUCUCAAUCUAUAUAUAAAUAUGUAACAAGGGAAGACACAAAAAUAGGACACCGGUUGUAAACAAAGCUAAAAAUCACCUUAGUUCCAAGAAACAAAUCGAAUCCCCUUAUCCAAAAGGCGUUAAACAUCUCCUAAAACAAGUCCAACGGAGUCCAAUCCUCUCAUAUUUGAUUUAAUGGGUUUUAUAGACGAAAAUAAUCCAAGCUGUCUGCAUUGUCGUCAAUCGCGCAUAGAAAAAGAUAACUCUCGCAAUGAAACCUUACUUCAGGCUCUCGGAAACUAUUGGGAGUGUUGUACACUUAAGCGAUAAAUGCAAAUUAUUCCCGCUAAACUUCAAAGCAAUGGAAAAACAAGCAAAUACAGUUCUGCUCGCAGAAGCUUCUAACAGGCUUGCCCGGGACAGGAAAGAGUCACACAAUCGGUAUUAUUGUCGACAACCUUUCGAAGACCAAAAGGGUGACAUUAACAAGUACUACAGGUCUUUCUGAAUCCUUGCUGCGGUCAGAUUCAGAGGCCAAGCAAACACCAACAAGGUCAGUAAUGCUUUAUCCUAAAGUUUAUCUAUUGGAAUGUGUUAAUUAUAGGAGUAUAAAAUGGGAUCCAAAUUAAUGAAAGACCUAGAAACUACUUCUAAGUAGUGAUAAUACCACAGUUUUGAAAAUUUUGUAGAAGAAAUGUUGUUUUGAUUAAAAUUCUGUUUUCAAAUAGAUAUUCGACCACGAUAUAUAUAUUCUGUGGAUUGAAAGACGGUCGUUGCCAAAAUGCAGAACUUUUGGAUUUGCUUCAAACCUCUGAGAGUUUUGAAACAUUCAAAGUUAAUAUCCUUAGGCGUGAUGUCCUGGUGAUAGGUCAUUUUGAGUGGAGACUUCUUUCAUUUUCCACCAGUACCGAACUCAAAGUAUGACGACCCUGGCAGUAGUAACGUGGAAAGUCAACUUCUGAAGUUCUUUCACCAUGUCAAUUUGAACCAUGUUUAUAGACAGAAAGAAGUUGACUUGGUACAGGCUAUCCAUGGAAUUGCCAGAGGCCAACUUACCCAUGAAUCAGAAGCAUUUCUUAUGCGAAUGAAGAGACCACUCCCUCCCGGUGAAAAUCCGUUGAAGAUAAUGGCCAGAAGAGAAGAUGUCUAUUUGUGGAAUUCGAAGUGUCUUCGAGAAAUGGAUGGAGAAGAGAAAAUAUACAAUAGUGAGGAUGAGGGGAUAUAGUUGGAAUCAAAACAGAGAGUUGUCCCAAUUAUGUUAAUAGCCAAUAUAAGUGACACUUUAGUCAAUGUUCUACAAGAUUUGUUUCAGAAAUGAUGGACGGUUACGUGAAAGUUAAGUUCAAUGCUAUUGGCGAAGUGAGCAUCAGGCCAUUCUCAUUCUCCAAAUUUGAUCCAAAUUUGAAAUAUGAUGUUGGCUGCCGGAAGCAAAUUCCCCUUCAACUUUCAUUUGCCAUCACCAUACACCAGUUUCAGGGAAUGACAUUAAACCGCCUGAAAAUUGACUGCAAGGGCAUGUUCGAAUACGGACAACUUGUUGUUGCUGUGAGCAGGUCAGUAAACAAAAAAGGAUUAAGAGUGUUGAAUUUUUCACGAAGAAUUAUUUUGAAUACACCAGCCUGUAAAGCAAACUUAUACAGUGAAGGACUGAACAAUAUUCAGGCAAGUGACUUGUCAUGCUGCAAUGAAUCUGAUUAUUCUAAUAUAACUGAACAUUACCAGAAGUUGAUGUCGAGUAAACGUGACGACACCAGUGAUGAUGAUAAUGAUGUUCAUGAUGAUGACUAUGACAAUGAUGAGUUAAUGAUACAAUUGGUAGAAUCUAUUGAAAAUAAGCAUAUACAAAACCCCAUGGAAACUGAAUUGGAACAUCAUCUACCACCCCAUAUAAAUGUUCAAAACAUCUUGCACACUCUCAAACAUGAUGUUCAACAGACAGACAUCCAACAGCAGGAAAAUGAAACAUUAGACUGGAUGAUGGCUGAUCAGAACUGUGUAGAACAAUUCAUGAGUUAUUUGUGGAAUAGGCUUAAAAAGGCAUUUUGUGACAUUAUUCAAUCAUUAGAGGUUGUGAACAAUAAAACAGUGAAUGGCUUUUAUAAAAAGUUUCAGGAAAUCGCCACAUCUGAAGCAUACAGAGAAAUUGUCCACAAAAACCUUGUUUCCAAGUGUAAUGAACCUUUCAAAUGUUCACUACAAUGUUGCAUUUAAGCUUGCCACUUUCAUAAAGAAAUAAGUAAUCCAAGAGCAUGCAAAGUCAAUAAAAGAUGAUGGAAAUCUAAAACUUCCCAAUACAUCUCAAAAUUAAUUCUCGGAACGUGUGGCAGGAAAAGGUAAGAUUGGGUAUCUAGGUGGCUGGUGCCUGUCUUCUUUAUGACGCCGUAGAAUGACGAGAAUUAUGACAAAUGCAUAUAAUGUCAAGAAAGACGCAUUGGUGAAUGCAUUAACUUUGGAGAAAGAUCUACUAGACCAUGUUAUUGCUGUCUCAGAGAUAAAUAUCCUAGAGAGUUCCGUGUUUGUAGAAACACUUCAUGAAACUGCUAGGAAACACAAUGCUCCUAAAGGAUUAACACAUAUCACAGAUGAUGCAGUCAACUUCUUCUUGUGUUUAGAACAGGAAUUGCAGAAAUACAAACUGAGGGAAAUAUUGCUAUUCAAGGCAAAAAUAUUGGAACAUUCCUCUCACAAAACAUUGAUGCUUUCAGAAAAUUUAAUUGCUCAAUGGAGAAAAUUUUUCCAUACAUAUGAGUCCACUGCUAUAAAAACAGAAAUAACAAAGCACCUUAACAUUAUGUUAGAGGAUGUUAUUCUGAAAUACCUCAAGAUGAGUGUAGCCCAACUUAGGAAAGAUUUUCUACAGCAACAAAAGGUAAAAAAAAACCUGAAGCUACUAGAAAACAAAUAAAGAUGCGUACACAACGACAAACGAAAGGGUUUUUUGAUUUUACAACAAUAGAGAGAGAGUGACGACUCUCCUAAUAGAGAGUCUGAGCUUCUGUCUGAUAAAACAUUCUUACAAAAAUUCAAAAAAGAAGAACUGAACAGACUUUGUGAAUGUUAUAAGUUUAAUCCUUAUCAGUCAAAGAAAAAAAUUGUCAUUGACUUGGGUGACUACAUUUUAAGUGCAGAGGGGAUGAAUUUUGCAAAGCACUCCAAUGUAUCAACACAAGGAUCAGAAGACAAUCCAAACACAUGUAGUAGACCAAAGAGAAAAUGUCAGGAUGUAAGAAGAGAAAUUGUAGCCUCGGGGACCAAGAAGAAGGAAACUAGAGAGAAAGGGACAUCAUCAAAGAAACAAAAACAGAUAAAGUGGCCCUGCAGUGCUUGUGGUGGAGAAGCUAUUGAGUACUCUGUUGGGUGUGAUAAUUGUGAGAAAUGGUUUCACGCUGCAUGUUUGAAUAUUGAUAUUGGUGACUUGGAUAGCCUCCUAGAGGUUUGGUUUUGCAGAACUUGUUGUUCAAAAAGUUGAAGAGAAAAUGUGUUUGGCUACUUAUUUAUCACCGAAAUGGUAUGUCAUCUUCACACAGUGAGAAAACUUUUUGUUCACGGUUACCUGACUUGCCUGUCUAACCAAUUUUUCUCUCUGCUAACCCAGAAGUAUUUAAUUUGUCAAACUUAAUCCGAUCAAAUAAACAUUAAGAAACUGU